rnacentral:rRNA from 1 species
CCGUUGAAGACUACGACGUUGAUAGGCCGGGUGUGGAAGUGCGGUAACGCAUGGAGCUAACCGGUACUAAUAGGUCCAUUGGCUUUACGAG